rfam:Zea mays cultivar B73 chromosome 9, whole genome shotgun sequence.
GAGAAUAUGAUGUUUUUUCCUCAUAUAACCGACAAAGAACAUAUUGAGUGCUAGAAUUUUUCAUCUGAGAAAACCAGGAAAGAGUUAUAAUCCUU